UACGUAUGGAGCAAGCGUUAUCCGGAUUUACUGGGCGUAAAGGGAGCGUAGGCGGCCUGCCAAGUCUGAUGUGAAAUACCGGGGCUCAACCCCGGGACUGCAUUGGGAACUGCCCCGCUCGAGUGCCGGAGGGGCAGGCGGAAUUCCUAGUGUAGCGGUGAAAUGCGUAGAUAUUAGGAGGAACACCAGUGGCGAAGGCGGCCUGCUGGACGGUGUACUGACGCUGAGGCUCGAAAGCGUGGGGAGCAAACAGG
rnacentral:rRNA from 1 species